UCAUUUCAUCAAAUCCCACUGUUUGCUAAAGCACAAAUACAGGUGCAUUUAAAUGUAUGUCUGUUUAAAUGUCUCAGGCCACACAAGCAAUAAAACAUGGGCAAAUUGUCACAGUGAUGACACACAUGCUACACCAUACUUGAACCUGCUGUAAGAUUCUUGGUGUCAUAGGUGUGGUUGCCUUUUCAUCUUUUCCAUUUUUAUUUCAUAUUUAUCUAGGGCUUCAUUCAUUGAGUAGUCCUGAAAAGGAAAACUACCCUUAGCAACCAGAAGUGUCGCCAGUCUGAGGUACCCACCCUCUGAUUUUUCGGACCCAGGUCUGAUGGCAGUGCCCAAGACGCUCAGGCCCAAGCACCCAGCCUCUUCCUAGGGCUGCUUCUUGCCAGGGGCUCACUGUCUUCCUGGCUCUGGCAGGAGGUUUUGUGCCCCAUGACUGUCCUGUGUAACAAGUUACAUGUGAUAUGUGGUGUCAGCACAACUCCUGCCCCCAUCAGGUCUGGACGCCUUGGCCUCACUGCAGACACGUAGACAUAGUGAGGGUCACGUUAUCUUUCCGGGUCUCUCUCUGGCACAUCUGGCUGUGGAAAACUCUUGUAUAUCUAAAUCCCUAUGAAAUAAAGCUACUUCAAAAGUCA